GUUCAGAGGUGUGCCCUUCUGGUCUUUCUCUGAUAGUCAGAGCAACCCUCCAGGGCAGGAAACAUUGUGGGGUUGAAAGAAUGGGAAGAGAAUGGAAGCACAUAUGUUUUAUUCUGCAGAUAAGGAAGCGGGUAUGUGAGGAGAACAAGAAAGCAGGUACAGUAACCGAAGCAAUGAGUGGUGGAGGCCAAUGGGAUUAGAGAGACUGCAUUAAAAGCCUGCAAUGACUGAAUCACAGUGCUGUACAUCAAAAACUAACACAACGUUGUAAAUCAAGUAUACUUCAAUUCAAAAACAACAACAAAAGACUGCAAUGGCAUUAAUGUCCCCAGGGACAGUGUGGGUCAGCUCAUUCAUUCCUCAGUGACCAGCAAGAGAUUUGUGAACUACCCGACUCCUCGAACCCUGUCCAGGGAGAGACCCAGUGUCCCCUGCUAUAAUGAUACCCUGUACGCACCUUUGUUCUGGAACAUAUUGCACUGGGGUGACCUUGUUUUUGAAUACCCAGCACUUAGCGCAGGGCUCAGGACAUGUUUAUUGAAGGAAUGCACUCGAGCUUUCUAGCCAGAAGGUAGUGGGGUGCCUAUAGUUCAGCCUGCACAAAGGAAACCCCAAACAGCUGCAGAUUUCUAUCAUCCUUUGCUUGGUUCCUUUCCUCCUUGACCCAGAGAGGCACAUAAGUAAAAGAGCUAAUCAAGGAAGGCUGCAGAUCUUCCGUAAAGAUAGAGGCUGCCCGUUUGAAGGGAGGGAUUUGACGCAGCCUCGAAUCUGAUGCAAUCUCCGAAGCGAUCAGCUUGCUAAAGUAUGUUGGUGGCGACCAGGCAAAGCAAAAGACAAAGGUUACGGAAGCAGAUGUGGAGGGCACUGCCGGUCACACUUGGAUCUGUUUCGGGAGCACCUACCCGCCCCCCAUCAGACGCCCAAAGUCUAGGAACCUUCAGAAGCAUAGCGAUUUGUUGUAUUUUCCAAAGCUCCAUGCUGGGAUGCGUGGACCAGGUGCCUGCCUUAAGCGCAGCUCAGGCCUGCUCAGAGGAGUCGGGAGGGCCCCCUGCUAACAGCGUGGGGGGAACUUGCCCAGGGCUCGGAGGAGCCACAAACAUGGUUAAAGGAGUGAAAGAUUUAAAAAAUGGGGACACUGAAGAACAAAGUGAAGGGUAGCUUCAGGGUCUCAGGUGGAUGAAAUGCACAGAGACUAGUGACUGGUAUUUUCCUAUGACCAAGGAACAAAGGAUAGGAAGAUUGUUUUCAACUGUAUCAUAAGGGCCUCCGAGUUGAGUUGGAUAAAUUAAAAGAUUGUUGAAAUACCUUCUUGUACUCCUGUCCGCGUUAGCGUUAUUCAUUACAGACAGUUGGUCAUUUUCAUCAUUCAAGUCACUUAUGCUGUUGCUUUCCCGGAUCAGACAUUUGAGCUGCAGAAGGGAGGGGAAGGAAGCCAGUGAUGCUGGUUGAACACCUAUGACAACAGGCUCUGGCUUUUCCUGCAUCUCUGAUUUGCAAACAUCAUUCCAUUUAAUAGCCAAGGGGCUGAUAUUAUCGUCACUUACUUGUGGGGAACCCAAGGCCAGGAGCACCCCAGAUGACAGUCACAGGUGGCAGUGCUAGGUCUGUGUCAUGUGUAACUUCAGUCCUGAGUCCGUGUGACUCCAAAGGCCUUGCUUCCAGCAGAUCCAUAAAUGUGAUGAAUCCAGUGUUUACUGAGGCCGUCUGGAUGCCUCGUUCUCUAUGAGGCGUUCCAGACCGGUCCCUCCCAGGUCUGGAAAGUCUUUGCCUCUGAGAAUAACUGUGCAUUUGAUCCAGUUUGGCACCUCUAUGUCCAAAACAACCUUCGAUUGCCAUUUCUCAGCCUGGACAAAGCCUUAUGUCUGGGAUAGCAAAUGUGUGAUGCAUGCUUUUGGCAUAGCAAAAAACAAAACAAAACAAAAAAAAACAUUUCAGU